rnacentral:tRNA from 1 species
UCCCUGUUGCUCAGAUGGUAAAGAAUCCACCUGCAAUGUGGGAGACCUGGGUUCAAUCCCUGGAUUGGGAA